AUGCAAGGGAACUAGGUUGCAUGCUCCUUAUAAGAAUCUAAUGCCUGAUGUCAUCUGUCACUGUCUCCCAUCACCCCCAGACAGGACCAUCUAGUUUUAGGGAAACAAGCUCAGGGGUCCCACUGAUUCUACAUUUUGGUGAGUUUUAUAAUUAUUUCAUUAAAUAUUACAACGUAAUAAUAGAAAUAAAGUGCACAAUAAAUGUAAUGCACUUGAAUCAUCCCAAAACCAACCCCCGACCUCCAGUCCGUGGAAAAAAUUGUCUUCCACAAAAACCAGUCUUUGGUGCCAAAAAGAUUGGGGACUGCUGCUCUAGGACAUAUUUUUAGUUGACAAACAGGCUUAUAAAGCAAUCAGACCAAGGAGGAAGGGCUCCUUUCUGUUGGAAUGAAACAGGAUGGGAUGUAGGCCUGGAGGGGCUGACAGCCAUGCUGAUAUCAUAUGAACCUGGGAGGGGAGCCAACUUGGAGAGGAGCUGUAAGGGUCUAGCUCUGAUGAACUCUGAAGGUCAUUUCCAAGAGAGCAGUAUUAGUUAGGAUGCAGAAAAGGCUGCUGCUAUAUGAAAAUACAAUGGUUUAAAUGAGCAGUAAAUGGCGUUUCUCUGAUGGAACAGUGCAGAACAUCAUCCAAGGUCGGUAAGGUGACUUAAAGCUACCAGGGACAUUGAGCUUUCUGUCUUACUACUUUGCUGCCUCUAGGGUGCAGCUCUUGUCCACAUGGUAUAGAUCUCAUCCUCCUGGACAAAGAUGCCUGCGCUCCCACCCUCAGGAAGACGGGAGGGGAGAAAGCGGAGGGAACCCCUCCUUUCCUGUUAAGGACAUGACAUGGAAUCUGGAAACUUCCACUUCCUCUCACACCUCAUUCGCCAGAACUUAGUUAUACGGUUAUACCGAGGUGCAGGGGAGCCUGGGGAAUAUAGCCUUUAGCUGGGCGCCUUUGUGCCAAACAAAAACUACUGUUACUGUUGGACAAGGGGAGAAUAAGUAUUGGGGGCACCUGGCAUACUCUGCCACAUCUAUUAUUCCAUAUCAGAAGGAAGGAACCGCACAUUCAUUAGCUCCAAAUCUGUUCUUGGUUCUGGGUUUCAGCCAUUCCUUGGGCAGCCAAGUGGGCCUGCUUCCAUCUGGCCUGUGCCGUAAAUCCUCUUCCCUUUGCAAAGAGCA
rnacentral:lncRNA from 1 species